rnacentral:rRNA from 1 species
UACGGGGGGGGGCAAGCGUUGUUCGGAAUUACUGGGCGUAAAGGCUCGUAGGUGGCCAACUAAGUCAGACGUGAAAUCCCUCGGCUUAACCGGGGAACUGCGUCUGAUACUGGAUGGCUAGAGUUUGGGAGAGGGAGUGCGGAAUUCCAGGUGUAGCGGUGAAAUGCGUAGAUAUCUGGAGGAACACCGGUGGCGAAGGCGGCAUCCUGGACCAACACUGACGCUGAGGAGCGAAAGCCAGGGAGCAAGCGG